AACGAACGCUGGCGGCAUGCCUAACACAUGCAAGUCGAACGAGACCUUCGGGUCUAGUGGCGCACGGGUGCGUAACGCGUGGGAACCUGCCCUUAGGUUCGGAAUAACUCCCCGAAAGGGGUGCUAAUACCGGAUAAUGUCUUCGGACCAAAGAUUUAUCGCCUUUGGAUGGGCCCGCGUUGGAUUAGCUAGUUGGUAGGGUAAAAGCCUACCAAGGCGACGAUCCAUAGCUGGUCUGAGAGGAUGAUCAGCCACACUGGGACUGAGGCCCGGCCCAGACUCCUACGGGAGGCAGCAGUGGGGAAUAUUGGACAAUGGGCGAAAGCCUGAUCCAGCAAUGCCGCGUGAGUGAUGAAGGCCUUAGGGUUGUAAAGCUCUUUUACCCGGGAUGAUAAUGACAGUACCGGGAGAAUAAGCUCCGGCUAACUCCGUG
rnacentral:rRNA from 1 species